rnacentral:rRNA from 1 species
GACGAACGCUGGCGGCGUGCCUAAUACAUGCAAGUAGAACGCUGAAGCUUGGUGCUUGCACCGAGCGGAUGAGUAGCGCACGGGUGAGUAACGCGUAGGUAACCUGCCUGGUAGCGGGGGAUAACUAUUGGAAACGAUAGCUAAUACCGCAUAAGAGUAGAUGUUGCAUGACAUUUGCUUAAAAGGUGCAAUUGCAUCACUACCAGAUGGACCCGCGUUGUAUUAGCUAGUUGGGGAGGUAACGGCUCACCAAGGCAACGAUACAUAGCCGACCUGAGAGGGUGAUCGGCCGCCCUGGGGCGGAGAUGCGGCCCCGACUCCUGCGGGAGGCAGCGGUAGGGAAUCUUCGGCAAUGGGCGGAAGUCUGACCGCGCAACGCCGCGUGAGUGAAGCAGGGUUUCGGAUCGUAAAGGUCUGUUGUAAGAGAAGAACGAGUGUGAGAGUGGAAAGUUCACACUGUGACGGUAGCUUACCAGAAAGGGACGGCUAACUCCGUG